UACGUAGGGGGCUAGCGUUGUCCGGAAUCAUUGGGCGUAAAGAGCGUGUAGGCGGUCCGGUAAGUCCGCUGUGAAAGUCGGGGGUCAACCCUCGAAUGCCGGUGGAUACUGGCGACCUUGAGUCCGGGAGAGGUGAGUGGAACUGCGAGUGUAGAGGUGAAAUUCGUAGAUAUUCGCAAGAACACCAGUGGCGAAGGCGGCAUCACUGGCCCGGUACUGACGCUGAGUGUGACGAACGUGGGGAGCGAAA
rnacentral:rRNA from 1 species